CUUUCUCAACCGAUUCAUUUUCUCUCUACUAGACCUAGAAAAACCCAAAAAACAAAAAAAAAAAAUAGCUUCUCCAGUUUCUGAAUCUGAUGACUCCUCCACCUCUAGCCAUCAUGACCACCGUUGUUGAUAGCCAUAAUGUUACCCAAAAAAGUUGCCAACUUCAUCUCUUGAAACUUUUCAAUCUUAAUAAAUCAUUUUUUUCAAUUAUUUUUCUUUAAAAAUCACCAAAACAAUAUAAAUCUACAAAAGAAAUUGACAAAGUCCAAUUAAAUUCAUGUUAGCUGCCACUCCAAAUGCUCCGGUUUGUUACUCUAAAGAACAUAUUUGCAUUGCAGAAUGCAAGCAGACUGCAGAUUCAAGACAUGCGAGCAAGAAUCAAGAUAAAAUUUCUCAGGUACUUACUUGAAAAUUAUCAAUCUCUGAAUGUCCAAAUGAUCAGGGCAGGGUUUGCUUUUCAGAUUCAAGUUUUGUCCUUAGCUUCUCGCUUUCAUCUGCUGGCUACUGCUGUGUUGUUUGCCUGUCGAAAUAUGAGAAAUAGGAUUUCAUAUUUUCUAUUGCUUUUGAGUUUUGAUUGCUUUUUUCUGUUUAUUUGGACUUCUUUUUACUUUUUUUUAUUGGAAACUCUCUAAUUUUGUAGGUAG
rnacentral:lncRNA from 1 species